GUGCCAGUUUUUGCAAAAACACUUGUUCAUUUCUUAUACACAUUUAAUCUUGAAGAAUAAGUUUUCUUCUGGAGCCAAUCACUAUAUAUUUUAACACCCCUAUCCAAUAUGUUCAAUUGUUGGCGUGACGCUGUUUGCUUCAAAUCUUGGUCAGCUUUGUGUUUCUUACGGAACCAUAUCUGAAUUAUUUACUGGAAUAUUCAAAACAUAAGAAAACAAACAAUCUAAUGGUCAUAUACUUUAUUUAUUUAAAAAAAGUAUUUUCCUUUCUGGAUUCAGUGCCAAUGUGAAUGAGUUCUUCUGCUCUGUUUUCAGUGUUCGUGCUAGUGGAGUUUCAAGUUUACGCCCGGACUACAUGGUAUGUAUUUCUGAUCAUCUCAACAAAGCCCUCGCGGGUGGCAGAGCAGUGCGCUUUUUUUUGCUAAUUUACGCCAUAUAAAGGCGAGUUGGCCUGAGAUUUGAAGGUAAAUUAGGGCAAGGAGCUGGGAUUUGUUCAUUUUGGACCAGCUGGCAUGAAAAUUAAAUCCGAAAUCUUUGCACACUACUCUAAAACGCUACCAAAGCGCGUUAAACUUUCUUAAAAAUUCAUUUUUAGCCAGUGUUGCCGCUUGGCUGAAAGGAAUAGGUCGAAAGCCGUCUCGGCAGCAGCUUUUGUUACUUAAACCAAUCAUUUCCUUGUAGUGAACGGAAUAAGUCUUCAUUUUAUUUAAAAUUUCAUUUUUUGGUGUAAGUAUUUUAGUUGCAUUAUGUAAUCAUAUGUGUACGUUUUUGCAUAAACUUUGCAGCUGCGUGUUAAUAAAUUUAAAUCUUCAGCAAUCGCUAGCUGGCAACAGUGAUUUUGCCAGUAAUAUGAAUCAAUCCUAAAUGAACGGAGCCUUGCAGUCACGGCGAAGUAAGUUAUUUUUGCACAGGUUUAUUAAUUAGAUCUUAAAAAUCUGUAUAGAAAUGCAUACGCUGCUCCAUGGUGUUUGCAUUCGUCUGUGCAGCAUGGGAUUUAUCGCAAAAUAUGGAAAUUAUACUAAGGACAUGGGAUUCCUCAAUUAUCGGCGGUAUUUCGUUGACUCGAAACAAAUUUCCCUAAUUUCCGCGGAUUAAACAAUAAUAGAAUAAUUAUUAUUUUUGGCGUCUGUAAUUAUUAACUCCAUUUGCUGCGGUGUGCAGCAGGGGAAAAUGGUAAGUUUGGCAAUAUUCUACGCUCGCUACUCAAUCAUCAUCAGGCACAAUCUGCUUGUUUUGCGUCUGCUGCUGGCGCAUUACUGGAAUACUUCUCUUUGCUCACUAUUACUCCUGCGUCUGCGGUUUCUCGCACUAAUUUCUUAAGAAAAUUGCAUUUUUUCCAAAGAGUUCUCUUGGAUUGGAAGGUGAAGGAAAGACGGUUUCCUUCAAUUACUAUAACGUUCCUGAAAGUUGCUGCCAAUUUGUAUUCUUUCUAGAAAUAUGCACUAUCAAUUUAAAUCCUUAUUUUGGUUUUGGAAUCGAUUCAAGGUAAGAAUUAAAAAAACUGCAUUGUGUUGCCUGCAGUAAGCAGUUUCGUCCGUCAAUUGUUACGUAACAAGAAUUUUUGCUAUGCUGCUCGUUUGCCUAAAUUGCCACAAUUAUUUUGUCUGCUUCCCAGGUAGAACGUGACUGCUGGCUGCUGUGCGGUUGUGGUCGCGAAUUGCGACUAGGCUUUGUGCAAGCGACUAUGCCAACGCCGACUUGCAACAGCGUUCCACUGCAUUCUUCACUCGUCUGCUCAUGGCAUCAUAUAUGGCGCAGGCGGUCGAGAUGAUGUGCGAUUCGGAGACUAGUAGGCGCCGCCGCUUUUUCUGGGCGCCGAGAAGAAAAACCGGAGGCGCGAGGCCUUCCCCCUGCUGCCUGCUGCAAGCUCGACCACGUCCCUCAGGACUCUCGUUACCAUGUUCAGAAUCCUGCGAGCCAGCAAGCGCGGUCGCCACGUGUUCUCAAAAUUCACGCCUGGCGCCUGCUGCCUACCUGAGCCUGCGCUUUGAAGACGAGUUGCGCCGUCAGCUCAGAAUUCGACCUUCAGAGUCCCUUGCGUCAGCCGUGUCGCGGACACCCUCUUUGGCCAGCCCUGCAUCAUCCGCAUCUCACGUAGCCAUCCCUCGUCGGCCCUCAGCCUGCAUCCCGAUCUGGAUAGCGUCCUGAGCAAGGAGCCAAAAGGUUUUCUCCGUAAAAUUGACGGGGAAAAUGCUGAGGUGUAAACGCUUGGAGAAGGCCCACCAGGAAAAGGAGGCGUUGGCCAAGCCGGCGAAGGAGUUUGCCAGGCAGAACAACGCCCUGGAAAAGGAACUCGAUGAGAGAAACCAGCCCUGCGCCAUCCGUAUCACGUAGCCGCCCCUCGUCGGCCCCCAACCUGCAUCACGACCCCCGCCGCCACUCUCCAGCCACUUGGGACGCGCGUCUGCUGCUCCAGUUCCCUUUUUUAGGGAAUCCUUCAAAUUGUCCUCCCCGACUUGGCGGACCUGCAAGACUAUUGUAUAAGAGACGGCGUUGAAGCUGAACCGUGAAGCGUACAUCAUGUAAUGCUCGGCGCAGGCCUUCAAUGGCAGUGCCGCAGCGCCGGAAAAAGGAAAAGGCCGCUAUGUCCCCGAAAUACUCUAUUUUGUGUUUUUAAACUAUUUAAUUGUUUGUUACUCGAAUAAAUAUAUUCAUCUUUGUUAAAUUUGUACGGUAUAUUCAAGAAUAAACCGAUAUUACGCAAUA